rnacentral:rRNA from 1 species
GAUGAACGCUGGCGGCGUGCCUAAUACAUGCAAGUCGAGCGAACGGACGAGAAGCUUGCUUUUCUGGUGUUAGCGGCGGACGGGUGAGUAACACGUGGAUAACCUACCUAUAAGACUGGGAUAACUUCGGGAAACCGGAGCUAAUACCGGAUAAUAUUUUGAACCGCAUGGUUCAAAAGUGAAAGACGGUCUUGCUGUCACUUAUAGAUGGAUCCGCGCUGCAUUAGCUAGUUGGUAAGGUAACGGCUUACCAAGGCAACGAUGCAUAGCCGACCUGAGAGGGUGAUCGGCCACACUGGAACUGAGACACGGUCCAGACUCCUACGGGAGGCAGCAGUAGGGAAUCUUCCGCAAUGGGCGAAAGCCUGACGGAGCAACGCCGCGUGAGUGAUGAAGGUCUUCGGGUCGUAAAACUCUGUUAUUAGGGAAGAACAUAUGUGUAAGUAACUGUGCACAUCUUGACGGUACCUAAUCAGAAAGCCACGGCUAACUACGUG